GACGAACGCUGGCGGCGCGCCUAACACAUGCAAGUCGAACGGAGUCAAGAGGAGCUUGCUUUUCUUGACUUAGUGGCGAACGGGUGAGUAACGCGUGAGUAACCUGCCCUGGAGUGGGGGACAACAGUUGGAAACGACUGCUAAUACCGCAUAAGCCCACGGAUCUGCAUUGAUCUGCGGGAAAAGGAUUUAUUCGCUCUAGGAUGGACUCGCGUCCAAUUAGCUAGUUGGUGAGGUAACGGCCCACCAAGGCGACGAUUGGUAGCCGGACUGAGAGGUUGAACGGCCACAUUGGGACUGAGACACGGCCCAGACUCCUACGGGAGGCAGCAGUGGGGGAUAUUGCACAAUGGGGGAAACCCUGAUGCAGCGACGCCGCGUGGAGGAAGAAGGUUUUCGGAUUGUAAACUCCUGUCGUUAGGGACGAUAAUGACGGUACCUAACAAGAAAGCACCAGCUAACUACGUG
rnacentral:rRNA from 1 species